rnacentral:rRNA from 1 species
GACGAACGCUGGCGGCGUGCUUAACAUAGGAAAGUAGAACGGAAAGGUACCUUUGGGGGUAGUUGAGUGGUGAACGGGUGAGUAACACGUGAGUAACAUGAUAUUGACUUCGGGAUAACUUCAGGAAACUGGGGCUAAUACCGGAUAGGAAUCCUUGCUGCAUGGUGGGGGUUGGAAAGCUUCGGCGGUUUUGGAUGGACUCGCGGCUUAUCAGCUUGUUGGUGGGGUAGUGGCUUACCAAGGCUUUGACGGGUAGCCGGCCUGAGAGGGCGACCGGCCACAUUGGGACUGAGAUACGGCCCAGACUCCUACGGGAGGCAGCAGUGGGGAAUAUUGCACAAUGGGCGGAAGCCUGAUGCAGCAACGCCGCGGGCGGGAUGACGGCCUUCGGGUUGUAAACCGCUUUCAGCAGGGGCGAAGCUUGUGGUGACGGUACCUGCAGAAGAAGCACCGGCUAACUACGUU